CGCGUUACGCGUUCGAUGGAAGAGCGCGCGAAGCGUGCAUCUCGCCUUCGAACCUCAACCGCGCUAGAGGUGACCCAAAGAGAAACCAUGUACGACGUUGAAAAUUGGUCUUUACCUCCGAAACAGGCUCUUUACGAUCCUGCUCUCGAAAAGGAAGCCUGCGGUGUUGGUUUCAUCGUUGCCAUAGAUGGAAAAAAAUCUCAUAAGAUCGUUAGGGACGCGGAAAUUCUUUCGGCGCGCAUGAACCAUCGUGGUGCCUGUGCUUGCGACAACGACACCGGUGACGGAGCCGGUGCUCUUUGCGCCAUUCCUCACGAGUAUUACGCCGACGAAUUGCGUGCACGGCAAAACGUCGAAUUACCAGAAUUUGGACGUUACGCUACCGGUAUUCUGUUCCUCGACAAAAAUACGCACGAACAAGUUGAGGAUGCGUUCGAAAAAUUAGCCAAAGAAUGCAAUUUGAGGGUAAUCUGUUGGCGAGACGUUCCAACGGAUAACACGAAAAUUGGACAAGUGGCACGAAAAUGCGAGCCUUACAUGCGGCAAGUGUUCGUUACCGGCGACCAAGAUGACGCUGAUCUCGAACGGCAGGUGUUCGUUUUAAGGAAAAGAUCGUCUCAUUCCAUACCGCAGUUAGGGAUAAGAUACUACAUAUGUUCGCUUUCCGUCCGAGUCGUGGUGUACAAAGGUCAGCUAACAGCGGAUCAGCUGUGGUUGUACUUCCUAGAUCUGAAGUCGCCAAAAUUCGAGACCUAUUUGGCGUUGGUUCACACAAGAUUUUCCACCAACACGUUUCCCAGCUGGGAAAGGGCGCAUCCUCUUCGAUUGUUGGCGCACAAUGGCGAAAUCAACACUUUGAGAGGAAACGUUAAUCUGAUGAAAGCCCGAGAAGGAGUGAUGAGCAGCAAGCUUUAUGGCGAGCAACUGAAACAGCUGUAUCCCGUGGUAGAACCGAAUCUCUCCGAUUCGGGAGCAGUUGAUUGCGUUUUGGAAUUUCUGGUGAUGGUGGGACAACGCUCCUUACCAGAGGCGGUAAUGACAAUGGUACCGGAAGCGUGGCAAAACGAUACGACGAUGGCAACCGAGAAACGCGACUUUUAUCAUUGGGCUGCUUGCGCUAUGGAACCUUGGGAUGGUCCCGCCCUUUUGACUUUCACGGAUGGACGUUACGUUGGUGCUAUUUUAGACAGAAAUGGCCUGCGCCCGUCGCGCUUCUACGUCACUAAGGAUAACAUGAUGGUGAUGGCGUCCGAAGUGGGCGUCUAUGACACUCCGCCCGGAAAUGUAGUCCUGAAGAGUCGUUUGAAGCCAGGAAGAAUGCUACUGGUCGAUACGCGCGAAAAGAGGAUCAUAGAGGACGUGGAACUCAAGUUGCAAAUAGCUAGAAGCAGACCUCAUUCGAAAUGGCUGAAAGAUCAGAUGAUCACGAUGGAAGAGUUACGGGCCGCUGACAGAGAUUCCACUAAAACAAAGGUGGUUCCUGUUAAAAAUGGUUUAGUCGGUGAGCAAACUAAAGCGGAUAACGAGGAAAAUCCUAUAUCCGCCGUAAAUCGAGUUUGGGGAGGGGACAAGAGGCUAUCGCUUUACGGUUAUACGCUGGAAACGAUCAAUUUGCUGCUGUUACCGAUGAUGCAGUCCAAAAAAGAAGCAUUGGGUUCGAUGGGUAACGACGCGCCACUCGCCUGUCUUUCGCAAUUUCAACCGCUAAUCUACGAUUACUUCAAGCAACUGUUUGCCCAGGUGACCAAUCCUCCGAUAGAUCCUUUCAGAGAAAAAAUUGUCAUGUCGAUGUUAUGUCCCAUCGGACCCGAGAGUAACAUUUUGGAACCCAACGAGCUUCAAGUGCACCGAUUAUUUUUACCGCAACCGAUAUUAUCACUGGACGAUCUUGAAAUAAUUAAACGCACGAGAUAUCGUGGUUGGAAGAGUAAAGUGAUCGACGCGACUUACCCUGUCCAAGAUGGCCCAUCCGGAUUAACGGACACGUUGAACCGUGUCAGUCGAGAAGCCGACGAAGCUGCCAAAGAAGGUUACCAGUUUCUGAUUCUGUCCGAUCGACGAGCUGGACCAGACAGGGUACCAGUGAGUAGUCUCCUUGUGCUGGGCGCGGUGCACCAUUAUUUGAUCGAAGAACGACAACGUAUGAAAGUUGGUCUUAUCCUGGAAACAGCCGAAGCUAGAGAAGUACAUCACGUUUGUCUGUUACUUGGUUACGGAGCAGACGCCGUUUGUCCGUACCUGGUCUUUGAAAUGGCAAGGAAUCUUCGAGCGGAUGGCGUACUCGAUUCCUCGUUGACCGAUAACGUUUUAUGCGCGAACUACGCAGAAGCAAUGGAGAGGGGUAUAGCUAAAGUAAUGGCGAAAAUGGGUAUCUCCACGUUACAGUCGUAUAAAGGAGCGCAAAUCUUUGAAGCGGUCGGCCUAUCCGACGAUGUAAUCGAGAAAUGUUUCAAGGGAACGCAGUCUCGCAUCGGUGGAGUUACUUUCGAUAUUUUGGCGAAAGAAGCAUUCGAAAGGCAUCAAAUCACUUAUUGGAACAAACCUAUAGAUAUGCUGGUCAUUCGCAAUCCAGGAAUUUAUCAUUGGAGAUCCGGCGGAGAGAAACACGUGAACGAUCCCGAUAGUAUCGCUAACUUACAGGAUUACGUAAGUACUAAGAAUUGGAAUGCUUACGAGAAGUAUCGAAAAACCACGAUGGAGAUGAUAAAAGCUUGUACGUUGCGGGGUCAGAUAGAACUGAUCGAAAAAUCCGAAAAUUCGAUACCCAUAGAAGAAGUUGAACCUGCCUCUGAAAUAGUGAAACGAUUCGCGACCGGUGCUAUGAGUUUUGGAAGCAUCUCGAUAGAGGCUCAUACCAGUCUGGCAAUCGCGAUGAAUCGGAUCGGUGGAAAAUCGAAUACCGGAGAAGGCGGUGAAAACGCCGACAGGUAUCUCGAUCAAGAUCCAACGUUUAACAAAAGAUCCGCCAUCAAACAAGUCGCGAGCGGUCGUUUCGGUGUAACUUCGAGCUAUCUAGCGAACGCCGACGAUCUUCAAAUAAAAAUGGCACAGGGAGCGAAACCGGGAGAAGGAGGUGAAUUGCCUGGUUACAAGGUUACUGCUGAAAUCGCUGCAACCAGACACUCGGUACCUGGUGUGGGACUAAUUUCUCCGCCGCCGCAUCACGACAUUUAUUCGAUCGAAGAUCUCGCCGAGUUAAUUUAUGAUUUAAAAUGCGCGAAUCCCAAUGCACGUAUUUCUGUGAAGCUCGUGUCGGAAGUGGGGGUAGGCGUAGUCGCAGCAGGCGUGGCCAAGGGGAAAGCGGAACACAUCGUAAUAUCCGGUCACGACGGUGGAACCGGCGCUAGCAGUUGGACAGGAAUAAAAUCCGCUGGAUUACCUUGGGAAUUGGGAGUCGCGGAAACUCAUCAAGUUUUAACUUUGAAUAAUCUUCGAUCGCGCGUUGUCGUUCAAGCGGACGGUCAAAUGCGCACUGGAUACGACGUGGUAGUAGCGGCUCUUUUAGGUGCCGAUGAAUUUGGUUUCAGUACUGCACCGUUAAUUUCUAUGGGUUGUACGAUGAUGAGAAAAUGUCACUUAAACACUUGUCCAGUGGGCAUAGCAACCCAAGAUCCGGUGCUUCGAAAAAAAUUCGAAGGAAAACCGGAACACGUUAUCAACUUUUUCUUCGCGUUGGCAGAAGAGGUACGUUCGUACAUGGCUAGAUUAGGAGUGCGCGAGUUUCAACAUUUAAUCGGUCGUACAGAUUUCUUAAAAGUCCGCCAAGAUAUCUCGAUCGAGAAAGCAAAGACGUUGAAACUCGAUAACAUUUUGCGAAGCGCUUUGGAACUUCGGCCAGGAAUAAAUAUCAAGGGUGGAUCGAUCAAGCAAGACUUUCAGUUGGAGAACAGACUGGACAACCGCGCGAUCGAAUUGGCCAGGGAUGUGUUGGAUCGAAAAAAGGAUAGCGUUACGAUGGAAUUGAAUAUUAACAAUGAAUGUAGAGCGUUCGCAUCGACCUUGAGCUACCAUGUGUCAAAAUUGUUCGGUGAAGCUGGUUUACCAGAGGGUAGUAUAAAUAUUAGGAUGAAAGGUUCCGCAGGUCAGAGUUUCUGCGCUUUCAUGACCAAAGGGAUUCACGUUACUCUCGAAGGAGAUGCCAACGAUUACGUUGGGAAGGGACUCUGUGGUGGAGAGAUCGUGAUAUAUCCACCAAAAGAUUCCACUUUUAAAUCCGAAUAUAACGUUAUCGUUGGUAACGUUUGCCUUUAUGGUGCAACGUCCGGUAAAGCCUAUUUCCGAGGGAUAGCUGCCGAAAGAUUCAGCGUUCGUAACAGUGGAGCAACUGUUGUAGUGGAGGGCGUCGGAGAUCAUGGAUGCGAAUAUAUGACCGGUGGUUGCGCGGUCAUUUUGGGACUGACCGGAAGAAAUUUCGCUGCUGGUAUGUCCGGUGGUAUAGCUUAUGUCUUCGAUGUGGAUGGAUCUUUCAAAAGUAAAUGCAACCCUGAAAUGGUGGAGUUGCUGCCUCUGAACAAACCGGAAGAUAUAGCAUUCGUGAAACAACUUCUAGAAGAAUUCGUUGAAAAGACCGGCUCUCUUAUCGCUGAAAGUCUGUUACAACUGUGGCCUGAACCAACUACGCGGUUCGUUAAGGUAUUUCCAUACGAAUAUCAACGAGCACUGCAACAACUCGAACAGGCAAAACAAAUACAAGAAACAGUAAACGGAAACUCGGAAACUGAUUCGAAUGUUCGAGUGAAAGAUAUCGAGGAAGUAGUCGCGGACGUUGAUAUGGAACAGCGUAAACUCGAUAAGAUCAGAGGAUUUUUGAAAUACAAAAGAGAAGUGGCGGUUUAUCGGCCGGUUGAAAACCGUCUUACCGACUGGGAUGAAAUUUAUAACUUUCAACGAGUUCGAAAAGGACUACGCGUACAAGCAGCCAGAUGCAUGGAAUGUGGUGUACCAUUUUGCCAAAGUAGUCACGGUUGUCCUUUAGGAAAUAUUAUACCGAAAUGGAACGAUUUAAUUUUUCAAUCGAAUUGGAAAGAAGCUUUGAAUCAGUUGUUACAAACAAAUAAUUUUCCAGAGCAACCGACACACGUUCACUCACACGUACGAAAAACAGUCAUACUACUACACGCAACGAUCGUGGUAACAAAAGUUCAACAGUAAUAUUAAUUAAUACUGAUGCUAUAUAACAACAUGAAUUUGGCACGAUCCAUUUAUAUUAAUUAAGCCAGAGGAAAAUCCUUUACUUAAGAACCUCGAUGAUAAUAAUGAAUUCACUGGAAGAGUUUGCCCUGCGCCGUGCGAAGGUGCCUGCGUGCUGGGUAUAUCGGAACCACCGGUUACGAUAAAAAACAUCGAAUGC
rnacentral:misc_RNA from 1 species